GGGAAGUCCUCGUGUUGCAUCUCU
rnacentral:siRNA from 1 species